CAAAUUUAAAAUCUACCUGGUUUCCAGGUCGAGUUGUAAUUUGAAGAUACGUUUUUGACGUUCCGGGUUGAACUAAAUCCUUUGGGAUAAGGUAUCAUGGAGGGUGAGAAUCCCGUAUAUACCAACCRUAGGGAUGUUAUUUAAUACSUUUCUAAGAGUCGAGUUGUUUGGGAAUGCMGCUCUAAAUGGGUGGUAAAUUUCACCUAAUGCUAAAUAUAAGCGAGAGACCGAUAGCGAACAAGUACAGUGAUGGAAAGAUGAAAAGAACUUUGAAAAGAGAGUUAAAUAGUACGUGAAAUUGUUGAAAGGGAAACGAUUGAAGUCMGUCMUGCCSGUGGGAAUCAACUUWGAGGAAACUCUGAGUGCACUUYYUCGCUUGGCAGGUCAACGUCGAUUUUGGAUGUCAUAAAAUGAUUGGGGGAAGGUAGCYCYYUCGGGAGUGUUAUAGCCCUUGGUAGAUGUGAUGUCUGGGAUCGAGGAUUGCAAUGGAUACCCUUUGGGGCUAGCCGCCUGAUCUCUAAUUGGUAUUGGGUUACGGAUAGCAUGCUGACCGUGAUCUAAUUAUUGGUUAAAAGGUUAG
rnacentral:rRNA from 1 species